UUCUGGCGACCGGCGCACGGGUGAGUAACACGUAUCCAACCUGCCCUUUACUCGGGGAUAGCCUUUCGAAAGAAAGAUUAAUACCCGAUAGCAUAAUGAUUCCGCAUGGUUUCAUUAUUAAAGGAUUCCGGUAAAGGAUGGGGAUGCGUUCCAUUAGGUUGUUGGUGAGGUAACGGCGCACCAAGCCUUCGAUGGAUAGGGGUUCUGAGAGGAAGGUCCCCCACAUUGGAACUGAGACACGGUCCAG
rnacentral:rRNA from 1 species